UAGGGAAUCUUCCGCAAUGGGCGAAAGCCUGACGGAGCAACGCCGCGUGAGUGAUGAAGGUCUUCGGAUCGUAAAACUCUGUUAUUAGGGAAGAACAAAUGUGUAAGUAACUAUGCACGUCUUGACGGUACCUAAUCAGAAAGCCACGGCUAACUACGUGCCAGCAGCCGCGGUAAUACGUAGGUGGCAAGCGUUAUCCGGAAUUAUUGGGCGUAAAGCGCGCGUAGGCGGUUUUUUAAGUCUGAUGUGAAAGCCCACGGCUCAACCGUGGAGGGUCAUUGGAAACUGGAAAACUUGAGUGCAGAAGAGGAAAGUGGAAUUCCAUGUGUGGCGGUGAAAUGCGCAGAGAUAUGGAGGAACACCAGUGGCGAAGGCGACUUUCUGGUCUAUAACUGACGCUGAUGUGCGAAAGCGUGGGGAUCAAACAGG
rnacentral:rRNA from 1 species